CAGACUUCAGUUCUAGGUCAGUUUCUGAAUGCGGUGUAUACUACUGCACCACAGAAGGAUGGGGCCAAUCAGAGGGGUGUGUGUGUGUCUCAUCUGCUGCCUCUUUAAGACUUCGGCUACUCCAAUCAACUUCCCAGGCUUCCUCCAGCCGCACAAGACACGUCACUGGCAAGCCGGGAAGCCGAUGGUUAUCGUCCCUUUCAGCCUUGAUAGCGAGUCGGGUACCGACAUGAAACCAUGAAUAACGUCGUGGAACAAGAGCAUCCGAGAAGCUCGCAGCUCGCUGCAAAGCGGCGGUGACUCAGAAGGGGCGGGGCAUACGGUCUGUUUCUCCUUCUUGAGGAGUGACUCAUCAGAGGCCGCGGAAGCCUACUCCAAAGGCAGGCGCAUUAUCUCUGGCUAUUAAUAGCCUCCGAAAAGGCUGAAGAAUGACGUCAGGCAAACGUGUAUCACAACUGGAUGGGAUUAUAAGAAAAUCAGAAAAAAACUUGCAAGUUGGAAAAAGUUAUUCAUUCCACAAUUUUCUGCCCUAUGAUCUAUUCCAGUGCAAGGGAAGCAGAUGUGAUUCAGCUUAGUGUGAUGGAUCAUUUGACAUUCAAGAGCAACGUGCAGUAACUGAAGAAUUUUUCCUUUAUUUUCUCAUUAUCAAGAAAUAUUUUUAGAUAAUGCUCGAUAAAAGGUGUUAUAAGGUUUGAGUGUUUUUCCUUGUUCAUGUUAUUGUAAAUAUGCUUGUGAAGAGGUUGGGCAACCCUUUGAUAUAGUAUCAGCUCCUCCACCUGUGUGGCUUCUUCUACUUUAAAUCUUAGGAAAUUGUAUAACUGCACGUUAUAUGGCUACAAGCAUGAUUACACUUCUGGUUUCUGGGACAUAUAAGGGCUCUGGGUUAAACUGAAAUGAUGCAAGUAUGUCUCUUCUGGUAUAUUUCCUGUGGUGGCUAAGAUAGUCCAAGGAAGUACUUACUAAAGGCUUUAUGCAUUAUCAGUCUACAGUUUUAACAGAACACUUGAAAUUUCGGUCUUUCCAGUUACCAAAUGCCAAUUAUUGUUUGCCAACUGUAUUUCUAAUAGUGUGGCAUUGCCCUCUAGUGGCUUGAAUAGAUAUAUGCACAUUGUUCCUAGUCCCAAAUAAUAGUUUUAUUUUUUUUAAAAAGUAGUACUUAACUUUGUCAAUAAGAUGCAGCAACUCUAUCAUCAUUUUUCCAAUUUCUGUUUUCAUCUACCCAAUGUAACACAUUAGUACCCUACUCAAAUUUGAUAAUCCUCAGCAUUAAAAUCCAUGAAGGGUAUUGUAAAAACAGACAAUUUUUUGUAAUCUAAAUCAUGUUUGUUGAUCCAAGUGAAUGAGCCUAGAGCCGUGAUGGCGAACCUAUGACACGUGUGCCACAGGUGGCACGCAGCACCCUCUGUGGGCAUGCAAGCUAUCGCCCCAGUUCAGCUCCGCCGUGCAUGCGCUCGUGCCUCCCACCGGCCAGCUGGUCAUCAGGUUUCUGCUGUGCAUGUGCAGGGCAGGGCACGUGUGGGGGGCUGUUCACGCAUGCGCAGGGUGUUGUGUGGGGGGAUGCAUGUGC